GUCAGGAGUAAAGUAGUUCAUUUUCAACAUAGUGUCUAGUGAGUACCACUGUUGCAUGUGUUCAUCCUUUGCCCCUCCAUUUC